rnacentral:rRNA from 1 species
GACGAACGCUGGCGGCGUGCCUAAUACAUGCAAGUAGAACGCUGAAGAGAGGAGCUUACUCUUCUUGGAUGAGUUGCGAACGGGUGAGUAACGCGUAGGUAACCUGCCUUGUAGCGGGGGAUAACUAUUGGAAACGAUAGCUAAUACCGCAUAACAAUGGAUGACACAUGUCAUUUAUUUGAAAGGGGCAAUUGCUCCACUACAAGAUGGACCUGCGUUGUAUUAGCUAGUAGGUGAGGUAAUGGCUCACCUAGGCGACGAUACAUAGCCGACCUGAGAGGGUGAUCGGCCACACUGGGACUGAGACGCGGCCCAGACUCCUACGGGAGGCAGCAGUAGGGAAUCUUCGGCAAUGGGGGCAACCCUGACCGAGCAACGCCGCGUGAGUGAAGAAGGUUUUCGGAUCGUAAAGCUCUGUUGUAAGUCAAGAACGGGUGUGAGAGUGGAAAGUUCACACUGUGACGGUAGCUUACCAGAAAGGGACGGCUAACUACGUG